rnacentral:siRNA from 1 species
CCUCCGGCGCUGUUACUUUGAAG